GACGAACGCUGGCGGCGUGCUUAACACAUGCAAGUCGAACGGAAAGGCCCUGCUUUUGUGGGGUGCUCGAGUGGCGAACGGGUGAGUAACACGUGAGUAACCUGCCCUUGACUUUGGGAUAACUUCAGGAAACUGGGGCUAAUACCGGAUAGGAGCUCCUGCUGCAUGGUGGGGGUUGGAAAGUUUCGGCGGUUGGGGAUGGAUUCGCGGCUUAUCAGCUUGUUGGUGGGGUAGUGGCUUACCAAGGCUUUGACGGGUAGCCGGCCUGAGAGGGUGACCGGCCACAUUGCGACUGAGAUACGGCCCAGACUCCUACGGGAGGCAGCAGUGGGGAAUAUUGCACAAUGGGCGGAAGCCUGAUGCAGCAACGCCGCGUGCGGGAUGACGGCCUUCGGGUUGUAAACCGCUUUCGCCUGUGACGAAGCGUGAGUGGCGGUAAUGGGUAAAGAAGCACCGGCUAACUACGUG
rnacentral:rRNA from 1 species